rnacentral:rRNA from 1 species
AUGGGCGACUUCAAUGAGAUACUGUUUGCAGGGGAGAAGGAGGGUGGGCCGGCUCGUGCCCAGGGGUGUAUGGAAGCUUUUCGAAGAACCCUGGAACACUGUGAGUUGGAGGACCUGGGCUUUGUAGGUGAUCCUUUCACCUGGAGGAAGGGGUAUACGAGGGAGCGGUUGGACAGGGCUGUAGCUAAUGUGGAUUGGAGGUGCUUAUUUCCGCUGCACACUGUCAUAAAUGGUGACCCUCGACAUUCGGACCAUCGCCCUAUAAUU